GACGAACGCUGGCGGCGUGCUUAACACAUGCAAGUCGAACGGAAAGGCCCUCUUUUGGGGUGGUCGAGUGGCGAACGGGUGAGUAACACCCGAGUAAUCUACCCUCGCUUAUGGUAUAAUUUCAUGAAACCGGGGCUACUACUGGCGAGUAGCACCUGCUGCAUGGUGGGGGGGGGAAGGUUUCGGCGGUGGGGGGUGGACUGGCGGCUUAUCAGCUUGUUGGUGGGGUAGUGGUUCACCAAGGCUUGGACGGGAAGCCGGCCUGAGAGGGUGACCGGCCACAUUGGGACUGAGAUACGGCCCAGACUCCUACGGGAGGCAGCAGUGGGGAAUAGUGCACAAUGGGCGGAAGCCUGAUGCAGCAACGCCGCGUGCGGGAUGACGGCCUUCGGGUUGUAAACCGCUUUCGCCUGUGACGAAGCGUGAGUGACGGUAAUGGGUAAAGAAGCACCGGCUAACUACGUG
rnacentral:rRNA from 1 species